rnacentral:lncRNA from 1 species
AAGAACUGUUUACAAGAAGGUACUAUUUGAAGAGACCAAAAGAGGUUGAAAAGUGAGCCAUGUGGAUAUCUGGAGAAAGUAUUACAAGCAGAAGGAAAAGCACAUACAAAGGCCCUGAGGCAGGUUUUUAAGAAUAAAAGUCGAAAAUAUACUCCACUGGCAGCUCCAGAUUUGAGUCCUGUUUCAGACGCACCUUCUACUGAGCGCCAUUGAUGGGCACCACAGCUCACGACGUCCUGGCGAAUAAUUCACACUGACCGUAGUGACUCUUCGAAAAGGCAGCAGGUUCUGAAACUCAUACUUCCUGUUAGUGAAAGGAGACAUUGCUUUUUCCUCCCCACAGGGAUUCUGUAAAAAUACAGAUACCUAGUCCUGAUGAGGCUGUGGUGAAAUUACAACCGGCUGCUGAUAGGAGCGUGGGUUAGACACUUCCCUGGAGCGUAACGUAUUGGGCGACAUAUGUGAAGAAUCUAGAGCUAUACGCUACUCUUUUCACUGAUCUUUUACUCUUUUACCUCGAGGAAUUUGUACUAAGCAAGUAAGCAGCAAUGCACACAAAGAUUUGCUUACAAGGAGAAAACUCUUCAGAUGGCUUGGAGCUGUUUCAGGCGGAGCCUGCAGAUCAAGGAGAGCUGGGGACGUUGUCAUAGGGGCCAGCUCGCUGACCUGAAGACUGCAAGGUGAGCUUUAACCAGACAAGAGUGCUGGAGGAUUCAAGUCAAACUACUACACCCAGACAGGUCAGGAAAGAAUCCAGAGAGCUCUCCAGUGUUCCUGAAGACACUGGCCCAAACAGCUUUAAAGGUUCAAGACAUCUUGGCUAUUCCCAAGAGGAAAGCAAAAAAGAUAAUCCACUCAUAAACAUACAAACAAACCUGUAAUCCAGGCUUUGGGUUCAGUUGUUGCCUCUAAAUAAAGACAUUCUGGAACUGAGAAACAUCCAAAACCCUAUCCCCAAAAGGAUGGAGCCACUUCUGAAGAAUGGAAGGAUUUCAAGCUAGAUUCUUCACCCCAUAAAAAUGGUGGCUUGGCAUCCAUCAGUUAUGGGAGAAAGUGGAAUUUUCCAUCAGCUUCUGUUCCACCGGGCCCAGCAGAAUCCAGGAUAAAUAAUGAAAAGGAAACUUUACUGAGCACUCGCUCGUGCCAGGCCCGGUUCCCCAUCUCCACGUGGGGCAGUCUGCUGGACCCCCUCAACAUCGCUUCAGCGUAGAUAUUAUUAUCACUUCUCCAUUUGAGGAAAUGGGGAAACUGAGUCCAAGAGUUGACGGAACUUGUCACAAGCUGAC